ACUCAUCCAUGGCCAAAAUUCCCCGUCCAGGUGAUGCAACAGUUUUCUGCAUAUCCAAGUAACAAUAACACUUAUCCAUUGAACCUAUAGCUAGUAACAAAACCCAUCAAGGAAAUUUAUAGCAGGCAAAAUUGCUAGCAAGCUAGCAACUUUUUUCUUAGGCUAGCAACUUUUUUCUUAGUAUACCGUGUGUGUGUGUAUAUAACUAUAUAUAAAAUUUUAAUUAAUUAAUAUCUUUUUUUUUUCCACACCACUGACUCAAAUUCUUGGUUUUGCCACUGUGUGUGUGUAUAUAUAUAUAUAAUUUUUUUCUUU
rnacentral:misc_RNA from 1 species